rnacentral:rRNA from 1 species
UACGAAGGGGGCUAGCGUCGUUCGGAAUCACUGGGCGUAAAGGGCGCGUAGGCGGCUUUAUAAGUCGGGGGUGAAAGCCUGUGGCUCAACCACAGAAUUGCCUUCGAUACUGUAGAGCUUGAGACCGGAAGAGGUAAGUGGAACUGCGAGUGUAGAGGUGAAAUUCGUAGAUAUUCGCAAGAACACCAGUGGCGAAGGCGGCUUACUGGUCCGGUUCUGACGCUGAGGCGCGAAAGCGUGGGGAGCAAACAGG